rnacentral:misc_RNA from 1 species
UUUCAAUGAAUUUACUGUAGAGUGUGCUAAUGCAUCAAUAAAAAUAAAUUAUCUUAUCAAUAAUUCAUUUUAGAAAUAGCAUUAAUAAAUUAAUACCAUUUGUUACUAAUAACAUGGCAACGCGAUUAACAUCUUUGCCUUUAGUAUCUAAAAUCUCGAAUAAGAUUAUUCGGAUUCUUGGAUGCAACCCUGGUCCUAUGACACUUCAAGGCACAAAUACUUAUCUUAUUGGUUCAGGAACAAGGCGUGCAUUAAUUGAUACAGGAGACACUGAAACAUCAGCUGAGUAUAUCAAAUUAUUAAAAAAUGUACUCGCAGAAGAAAAUGCUACAAUAGAACACGUGAUAGUCACACAUUGGCAUCAUGAUCACAUUGGUGGUGUAAAUUCUGUUAAAGAAUUAUUAACAACAUCAAAUUUUAAUGGUGAUCCACCAACAAUAUGGAAACUGCCUACGUAUGAAAAACCACAAGUAACACCAGAUCUUAUAAAGCAAUGUAAAUCUUUAGAAGAUGAACAAAUAAUUGAAGUAGAAGGAGCAAAAAUACAAAUAAAACAUACACCUGGUCAUACAACAGAUCAUGCAUGUCUAUUAUUAAAAGAUGAACAAAGUUUAUUUAGUGGUGAUUGUAUCUUGGGUGAAGGUACUGCUGUAUUUGAAGAUCUAUAUGAUUAUAUGAUUUCUUUACAAAAAAUUUUGGACAUGAAACCAUCUGUAAUUUAUCCUGGUCAUGGCCCUAUAAUAGAAGAUCCUGUUCCACGAAUUCAAUAUUAUAUUCAACAUCGACAACAAAGAGAGAAACAAAUAUUAAAUGCUUUAAAAGAACAUAGCAAUUCUAUCUUUAUGUCAGAAAUGGAUAUUGUAGAAAUCAUAUAUAAGGACACUCCAAAGAAUCUAUGGCCUGCAGCAGCUCAUAAUGUGAUGCAUCAUUUACAAAAACUACAUAAAGAAACAAAAGUAGUAGGCAAAGAGGGUGAAUGGAAAAUUUCAGAAAACAUAGUUUGAUACAUAGUAACACAAGCAUUUAAUCAUAAAUAUUGUAAAUAAUGUAUUACCUAUAAUAUAAAAUUUGUAUAUAUUAAGAAGACUCUGUCGAGCAAUGCUGUGAAACAUUUAUUCAACUUAUAGAAGUAACAAUAAUACAUACUCAUGGGCAUUCUUUCAGAUGGCAAAUUCUUAACACUUGAUUUUUACCAUUUGGCUAUUUCACGAGUAAGAUGCAUCGAACAUCUUAAUCGUGAAUGCACAUGCGUGACCAUGGAAAUUACAUCGGCACAUUUAGAUGAUUGAUAUAAAAUAUAUGUUCUGCUACAAAGAUA